AGAUCAAUCGCACGAUCGGACGACCCAGAUACAAUCGCACGGACGGCCCAGAUUAAAACAAAAUGGACGACUGAGAUCAAAGGGCAUGGGGUUAUAAAUAGAACCCCCACACCAGACCACAAACCCUAGCCGCCUGCCGCUCGCCGGAGAAGACGAACCAGAGGCCGACCGCCGCCACCCGCCGCCGCACCGGAGAAAUUUUCGACCGCCGAUCGAGGUAAAUUUCAUACCCCCGACUCGUUUUUCCACGCUGAUUCCUCCUAUGGCCAAAUCGAAGCCAAAAUCCCGGCCAAACGGCCGGAAUACGCGGCCGAAGACCAGCGGCGCCGCCGCGCCCCCUCUCAGUUUUUGCCUCCGACGAGGCCCUUCCCGGCCUCCGUUUGAUGCAAUUUUUAUAUCACCGUGAUCACCAUUCUUUUCUCUACAGGUUGACCGGAGCCGAAUCACCAAAACACGAACCUCGCCGGAGAGCCGCCGCACCCGAGAGCGCCACCGCCGGUAAGCUCCGUUUUUCCGUGACUUUUUGGCCCCCCGAGGGCCCUAGGGUUGUUUUCUCACAGGGACCGAUGCGAGUGUGGCCGAAUUCGGCCAAAAACGGCCGAAAACAGCCAACUUGAGGCGACUCGCCGCCGUGCCGGAGUUGCGAUUUGGGCCGAAAGAGGCCCUGGGCCUAAUUUGGGUUUUUUUGGAACACGUGCAGGUACCGAUAGUGUGUUUCAGUUCCCCGGGAAAAAUUCAGGGAAAAUUAGGGACGGCCUGUAGGCGCACUGUGAAUCGUAUUCGGAUCCCGAAAACAAGUAAGG
rnacentral:lncRNA from 1 species